GGANCACGCCGCGUGAGUGACGAAGGCCUUCGGGUCGUAAAGCUCUGUUGUUAGGGAAGAACAAGUACCGUUCGAAUAGGGCGGUACCUUGACGGUACCUAACCAGAAAGCCACGGCUAACUACGUGCCAGCAGCCGCGGUAAUACGUAGGUGGCAAGCGUUGUCCGGAAUUAUUGGGCGUAAAGCGCGCGCAGGCGGUCUUUUAAGUCUGAUGUGAAAGCCCACGGCUCAACCGUGGAGGGUCAUUGGAAACUGGAGGACUUGAGUGCAGAAGAGGAGAGUGGAAUUCCACGUGUAGCGGUGAAAUGCGUAGAUAUGUGGAGGAACACCAGUGGCGAAGGCGGCUCUCUGGUCUGUAACUGACGCUGAGGCGCGAAAGCGUGGGGAGCAAACAGGAUUAGAUACCCUGGUAGNNNNNNGCUGCCUCCCGUAGGAAA
rnacentral:rRNA from 1 species